rnacentral:rRNA from 1 species
CGAAGGGGGCUAGCGUUGUUCGGAAUUACUGGGCGUAAAGCGCGUGUAGGCGGUUGUUCAAGUCAGGUGUGAAAGCCUUGAGCUCAACUCAAGAAAUGCACUUGAUACUGGAUGACUAGAGGACCGGAGAGGAUAGUGGAAUUCCCAGUGUAGUGGUGAAAUACGUAGAGAUUGGGAAGAACACCAGUGGCGAAGGCGGCUAUCUGGACGGUUUCUGACGCUAAGACGCGAAAGCGUGGGGAGCAAACAGG